rnacentral:rRNA from 1 species
AGUAACACGUGAGGAACCUGUCCCAGAGACCGGGAUAAGCCAGGGAAACUUGGUCUAAUACCGGAUACCUUCUUCGAGUCACAUGGCUUGACGAAGAAAUGAUUUAUUGCUUUGGGAGGGCCUCGCGGCCUAUCAGCUUGUUGGUGGGGUAACGGCCUACCAAGGCUUCGACGGGUAGCUGGUCUGAGAGGAUGAUCAGCCACACUGGGACUGAGACACGGCCCAG